GAUCGUUCGUAGUCACAGUUACAGAUUGAACUUAUUGUUCUACUCUUUUUCCCCCUUCUGACUACUGCACUUGAGUAGUCUGAA
ensembl:misc_RNA Y_RNA Y RNA